UACGUAGGGAGCAAGCGUUAUCCGGAUUUACUGGGUGUAAAGGGCGUGUAGGCGGGCUUGCAAGUUGGAAGUGAAAUCUCGGGGCUUAACCCCGAAACUGCUUUCAAAACUGCGAGUCUUGAGUGAUGGAGAGGCAGGCGGAAUUCCCAGUGUAGCGGUGAAAUGCGUAGAUAUUGGGAGGAACACCAGUGGCGAAGGCGGCCUGCUGGACAUUAACUGACGCUGAGGCGCGAAAGCGUGGGGAGCAAACAGG
rnacentral:rRNA from 2 species